UAUUACUUAUCUUAUAAACGAUCAGAUCAUCAUUUUUCAAAAAGAAGAAGUCUCAAAUGAACGAACUGUACAAUGUCGCACUUAUACCAUAUCGUGGUAUGUAAUAAGCCAAUCAUAUCUCUUUUUUUGAGACAAAAGUAUAAUAAGAAUAGAUGAAUUCGAGAAGAAUAAUUCUAUUGAUUCGGAAUGCUACGUCAGCAAUAUCACCUGUGAAAAUAAAAAGUUGGGGACCAAAAUUGAAAAUGGGGUAAAGGGUGGGGGGAC
rnacentral:lncRNA from 1 species